AAACGGGUGGCCGAGUGGUCAAGGCGCCAGAGAUGCAACUCUGGAAAUGGAGCGUUCAAUUCCUCCCCCGUUUU
rnacentral:tRNA from 1 species